rnacentral:misc_RNA from 1 species
AAACCUUCAAGCUCUGCUUGGUGUUGGGUGUUUGUCCCGCCUCCGCGUGUGGACUCGCCUCAAAAGUAUUGGCAGCCGGUAGAUCGGCUUCGUGCGCAGCAGAAUACGCGCGUCGAGGCCCCUCUGUCGCUUUCCAGAAGCCCUUUUUUUAUC